rnacentral:rRNA from 1 species
ACUUACGGCCAUACCAUCCUGAAUACGCCCGAUCUCGUCUGAUCUCGGAAGCUAAGCAGGGUCGGGCCUGGUUAUUACUUGGAUGGGAGACCAACUGGGAAUACCAGGUGCUGUAAGUG